rnacentral:rRNA from 1 species
UACGAAGGGUGCAAGCGUUAAUCGGAAUUACUGGGCGUAAAGCGCGCGUAGGUGGUUCAGUAAGUUGGAAGUGAAAUCCCCGGGCUCAACCUGGGAACUGCUUUCAAAACUGCUGAGCUAGAGUACGGUAGAGGGUGGUGGAAUUUCCUGUGUAGCGGUGAAAUGCGUAGAUAUAGGAAGGAACACCAGUGGCGAAGGCGACCACCUGGACUGAUACUGACACUGAGGUGCGAAAGCGUGGGGAGCGAACAGG